GACGAACGCUGGCGGCGUGCUUAACACAUGCAAGUCGAACGGAAAGGCCCUGCUUUUGUGGGGUGCUCGAGUGGCGAACGGGUGAGUAACACGUGAGUAACCUGCCCUUGACUUUGGGAUAACUUCAGGAAACUGGGGCUAAUACCGGAUAGGAGCUCCUGCUGCAUGGUGGGGGUUGGAAAGUUUCGGCGGUUGGGGAUAGACUCGCGGCUUAUCAGCUUGUUGGUGGGGUAGUGGCUUACCAAGGCUUUGACGGGUAGCCGGCCUGGGAGGGUGACCGGCCACAUGGGGACUGAGAGACGGCCCAGACUCCUACGGGAGGCAGCAGGGGGGAAUAUGGCACAAUGGGCGGAAGCCUGAUGCAGAAACGCCGCGGUCGGGAUGACGGCCUUCGGGGUGUGAACCGCUUUCGCCUGUGACGAAGCGUGAGUGACGGUAAUGGGUAAAGAAGCACCGGCUAACUACGUG
rnacentral:rRNA from 1 species